rfam:Candidatus Woesebacteria bacterium RIFOXYB1_FTLL_40_26 rifoxyb1_full_scaffold_1718, whole genome shotgun sequence.
GCUAGCGUAGCUCAGUGGUAGAGCAAACCUUUCAUAAGGGUGAGAUCACAGGUUCAAAUCCUGUCGCUAGCA